rnacentral:rRNA from 1 species
GGCCAGCAUCGAUUGGNAUGGCGGGAAAAAGAGGNAGGAACGUGGCUGUGCAUUUAUGUGCAGUGUUUAUAGCCUNUCUNAAUACCGCCUGUCUCNAUCGAGGACUGCGGCAAAUUUGCCUAGGAUGCUGGCGUAAU